rnacentral:rRNA from 1 species
AGCUCCAAUAGCGUAUAUUAAAGUUGUUGCAGUUAAAAAGCUCGUAGUUGGAUUUCUGGUGGGAGUGAUCGGUCCGUCCCAAGUGGAUGUGUACUAGGUCCACUCCUGCCAUCCUUGGGGAGAGCGUGCCUGGCAUUAGGUUGUCGGGUUCGGGAUCCCCAUCCUUUACUGUGAAAAAUUAGAGUGUUUAAAGCAGGCUUAUGCCGUUGAAUACAUUAGCAUGGAAUAAUAAGAUAGGACUUUGGUGGUCUAUUUUGUUGGUUUGCACACCAAGGUAAUGAUUAAUAGGGAUAGUUGGGGGUAUCCGUAUUUCGUAGUCAGAGGUGAAAUUCUUGGAUUUACGAAAGACGAACUACUGCGAAAGCAUUUACCAAGGAUGUUUUCA